rnacentral:rRNA from 1 species
CGUGGGCAACCUGCCCCAGACUUCGGGAUAACUCUUCGAAAGAGGCGCUAAUACCGGAUAUGAACUCUGCAGGCAUCUGCGGAGUUGGAAAGUUUUUCGGUCUGGGAUGGGCCCGCGGCCUAUCAGCUAGUUGGUGAGGUAGUGGCUCACCAAGGCGACGACGGGUAGCCGGCCUGAGAGGGCGACCGGCCACACUGGGACUGAGACACGGCCCAGACUCCUACGGGAGGCAGCAGUGGGGAAUAUUGCGCAAUGGGCGAAAGCCUGACGCAGCAACGCCGCGUGCGGGAUGCAGGCCUUCGGGUUGUAAACCGCUUUCAGCAGGGAAGAAGCGAAAGUGACGGUACCUGCAGAAGAAGCACCGGCUAACUACGUGCCAGCAGCCGCGGUAAUACGUAGGGUGCAAGCGUUGUCCGGAUUUAUUGGGCGUAAAGAGCUCGUAGGCGGCUAGUCGCGUCGGAUGUGAAAACCCAGUGCUUAACACUGGGCCUGCAUUCGAUACGGGCUGACUAGAGUGUUGUAGGGGAGACUG